AUACGUAGGGGGCAAGCGUUAUCCGGAUUUACUGGGUGUAAAGGGAGCGUAGACGGAAGGCCAAGUCUGAUGUGAAAGCCCGCGGCUCAACUGCGGGACUGCAUUGGAAACUGGUCAUCUGGAGUGCAGGAGGGGUAAGCGGAAUUCCUAGUGUAGCGGUGAAAUGCGUAGAUAUUAGGAGGAACACCGGUGGCGAAGGCGGCUUACUGGACGAUCACUGACGUUGAGGCUCGAAAGCGUGGGGAGCAAACAGGAUUAGAUACCCUGGUAGUCCACGCGGUAAACGAUGAAUACCAGGUGUCGGGGGGCGAAGCUCUUCGGUGCCGAAAGCAAACGCAGUAAGUAUUCCACCUGGGGAGUACGUUCGCAAGAAUGAAACUCAAAUGAAUUGACGGGG
rnacentral:rRNA from 1 species